CAGCAGGCGCGAAAACUUUGCAAUAGGCGAAAGCCUGAUAGGGCUAUCCCGAGUGCCAUCCGCUGAGGAAGGCUUUUACCCAGUCUAGAACGCUGGGGGAAUAAGGAGAGGGCAAGUCUGGUGUCAGCCGCCGCGGUAAUACCAGCUCUUCGAGUGGUGUGGAUGUUUAUUGGGCCUAAAGCAUCCGUAGCUGGCUAAGUUAGUCCCUUGUUAAAUCCACCGAAUUAAUCGUUGGAUCGCGGGGGAUACUGCUUGGCUAGGGGACGAGAGAGGCAGACGGUAUUUUCGGGGUAGGGGUGAAAUCCUAUAAUCCCGGGAAGACCACCAGUGGCGAAGGCUGUCUGCUAGAACGCGCCCGACGGUGAGGGAUGAAAGCUGGGGGAGCGAACCGGAUUAGAUACCCGGGUAGUCCCAGCUGUAAACGAUGCAAACUAGGUGUUUGGACGGCCACGUGCCGUUCUAGUGCCGCAGGGAAGCUGUUAAGUUUGCCGCCUGGGGAGUACGAUCGCAAGAUUGAAACUUAAAGGAAUUGGCGGGGGAGCACAAG
rnacentral:rRNA from 1 species